UGGAGGAAAGGUGUGUGGCACUUAUAGCUGGGGUAGCUAUUACAGGGAUGAAUGUCCCAGACCCUGCAAGUGAUGAGGAGAUUGCAGAAGUCUCACAGACACCAAAGAGGCCAAUGAGCCAGGAUGGGAGUGCCUCCAAAAAAAGGAGAGUAGAGACCCCUACAAAUCAAUUGGAUGAAAGGAUUCAUUCUCUAGAGAACAUGCAGGAUGAAGGAAUGCAGAAAAUCUGCCAAAAAAUUGAUAAUUUAGUUUCGUCGAUAGACAAUCUGACUAAAACAAUAAACCAGAAUGGUGAAAGUAUUACACGCGCCGUAACGCAUGUAGGCAAUCUGCUGUAUGCUUCGCUAGAUAGAAUAUUUAAUAAAAUUUGAAAAAUUA